rnacentral:rRNA from 1 species
GCAAGUCGAGGGGCGAGACGACAAGGAGCAAUCUGAGGUGGCGACCGGCGGCACGGGUGAGUAACACGUAUGCAACCUAGCCUGUAAGCGGGGAAGUAACCCGUUGAAAGACGGACUAAUACCGACAUAAUACUAAAUUACUGCAUGGUAAUUUAUUUAAACAUUUAUGGCUUACAGAUGGGCAUGCGCAUGAUUAGCUAGUUGGAGAGGUAACGGCUCCCCAAGGCAACGAUCAUUAGGGGUUCUGAGAGGAAGGUCCCCCACACUGGUACUGAGACACGGACCAGACUCCUACGGGAGGCAGCAGUGAGGAAUAUUGGUCAAUGGACGAGAGUCUGAACCAGCCAAGUCGCGUGCAGGAAGAAUGUCCCUAUGGAUUGUAAACUGCUUUUGCAGGGGAAUAAAGUGCAUCACGUGUGAUGUUUUGUAUGUACUCUGCGAAUAAGGAUCGGCUAACUCCGUGCCAGCCGCCGC